CCAUUGGUGGCUCAGUGGUAGAAUUCUCAUCUUCCAUGUGGGAGAUCCAGGUUCUAUUCCCGGCCACUGCA
rnacentral:tRNA from 1 species